GGAAGGAUCAUUAUUGAAAUAAACCUGAUGGGUUGUUGCUGGUUCUCUAGGGAGCAUGUGCACGCCUUGUCAUCUUUAUAUCUCCACCUGUGCACCUUUUGUAGGCCUUCCAGGUCUAUGUUUGCCUCAUUUAACCCCAUGUUAAUAGAAUGUUGUUGUGCCUAUAUAAUAUACAACUUUCAGCAACGGAUCUCUUGGCUCUCGCAUCGAUGAAGAACGCAGCGAAAUGCGAUAAGUAAUGUGAAUUGCAGAAUUCAGUGAAUCAUCGAAUCUUUGAACGCACCUUGCGCUCCUUGGUAUUCCGAGGAGCAUGCCUGUUUGAGUGUCAUUAAAUACAUAUAUCAACCUUCUCAUUGUGGAAUGGUUUGGAUGUGGGGGUUUUCUUGCUGGAACCUUUCAAAGAGUCCAGCUCCCCUUAAAUGCAUUAGCAGAACAAACCUGUUCAUUGGCGUGAUAACUAUCUAUGCUAAUUGAAUAUGAAGGGCAGUUCAUCUUUCUAGCAGUCCUUUGGACAACUCAUCAUUAAUGUGGCCUCAAAUCAGG
rnacentral:sRNA from 1 species